rnacentral:rRNA from 1 species
GACGAACGCUGGCGGCGUGCUUAACACAUGCAAGUCGAACGAUGAUGCCAGCUUGCUGGUGGAUUAGUGGCGAACGGGUGAGUAACACGUGAGCAACCUGCCCCUGACUUCGGGAUAACCGCGGGAAACCGUGGCUAAUACCGGAUAUGACGCGCUAUCGCAUGGUGGUGUGUGGAAAGAUUUAUCGGUUGGGGAUGGGCUCGCGGCCUAUCAGCUUGUUGGUGGGGUGAUGGCCUACCAAGGCGACGACGGGUAGCCGGCCUGAGAGGGUGACCGGCCACACUGGGACUGAGACACGGCCCAGACUCCUACGGGAGGCAGCAGUGGGGAAUAUUGCACAAUGGGCGCAAGCCUGAUGCAGCGACGCCGCGUGAGGGAGGACGGCCGUCGGGUUGUAAACCUCUUUCAGUAGGGAAGAAGGCCUUCGGGUUGACGGUACCUGCAGAAGAAGCGCCGGCUAACUACGUG